UCCCUGAUGGUCCAGUGGUUAGGACUUGGCACCCUCACUUCCAGGGCCCCAGGUUCAAUUCCUGGUCCAGGAG